rnacentral:rRNA from 1 species
AUUGAACGCUGGCGGCAGGCUUAACACAUGCAAGUCGAGCGAGCGGCUGACGGGUGAGUGAUGUCUGGGAAACUGCCUGAUGGAGGGUGAUAACUCCUGGAAACGGUAGCUAAUACCGCAUACCAUCAGAUGUGCCCAGCUGGGAUUAGCUAGUAGGUGGGGUAAUGGCUCACCUAGGCGACGAUCCCUAGCUGGUCUGAGAGGAUUCCCAGCCACCCUGGAACUGAGACACGGUCCAGACUCCUACGUGAGGCAGCAGUGGGGAAUAUUGCACAAGGGGCGCAAGCCUGAUGCAGCCAGGCCGCGUGUGUGAAGAAGGCCUUCGGGUUGUAAAGCACUUUCAGCGAGGAGGCGUUACUCGCAGAAGAAGCACCGGCUAACUCUGUGCCAGCAGCCGCGGUAAUAC